CGGGCUAAUACAUGCAAGUCGAGCGGACUUCUUAAAAGCUUGCUUUUAAGAAGUCAGCGGCGGACGGGUGAGUAACACGUGGGCAACCUGCCUGUAAGACUGGGAUAACUUCGGGAAACCGGAGCUAAUACCGGAUAAUAUAAGGAACCUCCUGGUUCUUUAUUGAAAGAUGGUUUCGGCUAUCACUUGCAGAUGGGCCCGCGGCGCAUUAGCUAGUUGGUGAGGUAAUGGCUCACCAAGGCAACGAUGCGUAGCCGACCUGAGAGGGUGAUCGGCCACACUGGGACUGAGACACGGCCCAGACUCCUACGGGAGGCAGCAGUAGGGAAUCUUCCACAAUGGACGAAAGUCUGAUGGAGCAACGCCGCGUGAGCGAUGAAGGCCUUCGGGUCGUAAAGCUCUGUUGUUAGGGAAGAACAAGUGCGAGAGUAACUGCUCGCACCUUGACGGUACCUAACCAGAAAGCCACGGCUAACUACGUGCCAGCAGCCGCGGUAAUACGUAGGUGGCAAGCGUUGUCCGGAAUUAUUGGGCGUAAAGCGCGCGCAGGUGGUCCUUUAAGUCUGAUGUGAAAGCCCACGGCUCAACCGUGGAGGGUCAUUGGAAACUGGGGGACUUGAGUGCAGAAGAGGAAAGUGGAAUUCCAAGUGUAGCGGUGAAAUGCGUAGAGAUUUGGAGGAACACCAGUGGCGAAGGCGACUUUCUGGUCUGUAACUGACACUGAGGCGCGAAAGCGUGGGGAGCAAACAGGAUUAGAUACCCUGGUAGUCCACGCCGUAAACGAUGAGUGCUAAGUGUUAGAGGGUUUCCGCCCUUUAGUGCUGCAGCUAACGCAUUAAGCACUCCGCCUGGGGACUACGGUCGCAAGACUGAAACUCAAAGGAAUUGACGGGGGCCCGCACAAGCGGUGGAGCAUGUGGUUUAAUUCGAAG
rnacentral:rRNA from 2 species